rnacentral:rRNA from 1 species
GAGGACGGAAGUUUGCAUUGCGGAUAUUCGAGCUUCAGAGGGAGAAGAGCAAGUAUGGAAGACUUCUUCGACAUGAAAUCAUCUAAAAUGGAUGCUAAACAAAUAAACCUCUUUGGAGUAUUUGAUGGACAUGGUGGUUCAUGUGCCGCUGAGUAUCUCAAGGAGCACUUAUUUGAAAAUCUCUUGAAACAUCCAGCUUUCAUUAGUGAUACAAAAACAGCAAUAAGUGAGAGUUAUACAAAGACUGACUCAGAUUUCUUGGAUGCUGAAACCAAUAUUCAUAGAGAGGACGGGUCAACUGCAUCAACCGCAAUUUUGAUUGGCAACCAUCUUUAUGUGGCAAAUGUUGGCGAUUCACGGGCUGUAAUAUCGAAGGCGGGCAAAGCUAUUGCGCUCUCGGAUGAUCACAAACCAGACAGAAGUGACGAGCGGGAACGGAUUGAGAAUGCUGGAGGAGUUGUUACAUUUAGUGGAACAUGGAGGGUAGGUGGUGUCAACUCAUUUGAUCUUGCAUUUAAAUCCGUUGUUCGUGCCAAAUUUGUGAUAGUAAGUGUGGUUUUGCAGCACGCCGUUGCAUUUGUGAAGGAAGAGAUGGCCCCUGAAGCUGCAGCCCGGAAGUUGACAGAGGUCGCUUUUGCACAUGGGAGCACCGACAAUAUAACAUGCAUAGUUGUAGAAUUUCGCCGUGCCAACUAG